rnacentral:sRNA from 1 species
ACAGGAUUUAACCUAGACUCAAACACGGCUAGAAAGAAAGUUCUUUGUUUUCACAUUUCGUUGGAUUUCUUGUAACUCCGUCGUCCUGUGGUACGCAAUAGCAAUUUAUUUUUCCACGCUAUAAGCGCCGUUGAGGCGAAAGAUUACACAAAUUUAGAUAUUUAGGAAAUAGACAUGUCUAACACAGCUACUGGCACAGUUAAGUGGUUCAACGAAACUAAAGGCUUCGGUUUCAUCCAACAAGAAAACGGUCCUGACGUAUUUGCUCACUUCUCUGCAAUCACUGGUGACGGCUUCCGUACUCUAGUUGAAGGCCAGAAAGUAGAAUUUGUUAUCUCUCAAGGUCAAAAAGGCCCUCAAGCAGAGCAAAUCAAAGUACUUUAAUUCUUAAAGAAUUUGAUAUGAUAGCCAGCUUUUAAGCUGGCUAUUUUUU